GGGCUCGGUGAGGCAGCAAAUAUGCUAAAUUUGAAAAGAUACAGAGAUAAGCAUGGCCCCUGUGCAAGGAUAACUCCAAAUUCCAUAAAAAAAAAACAAAAACAA
ensembl:snRNA U6 U6 spliceosomal RNA